rnacentral:rRNA from 1 species
GAUGAACGCUGGCGGCGUGCCUAAUACAUGCAAGUCGAGCGAAUGGAUUAAGAGCUUGCUCUUAUGAAGUUAGCGGCGGACGGGUGAGUAACACGUGGGUAACCUGCCUAUAAGACUGGGAUAACUCCGGGAAACCGGGGCUAAUACCGGAUAACAUUUUGAACCGCAGGGUUCGAAAUUGAAAGGCGGCUUCGGCUGUCAGUUAUGGAUGGACCCGCGUCGCAUUAGCUAGUUGGUGAGGUAACGGCUCACCAAGGCAACGAUGCGUAGCCGACCUGAGAGGGUGAUCGGCCACACUGGGACUGAGACACGGCCCAGACUCCUACGGGAGGCAGCAGUAGGGAAUCUUCCGCAAUGGACGAAAGUCUGACGGAGCAACGCCGCGUGAGUGAUGAAGGCUUUCGGGUCGUAAAACUCUGUUGUUAGGGAAGAACAAGUGCUAGUUGAAUAAGCUGGCACCUUGGCGGUACCUAACCAGAAAGCCACGGCUAACUACGUGCCAGCCGCCGCGGUAA